rnacentral:rRNA from 1 species
AAACGUAGGAGGCGAGCGUUAUCCGGAUUUACUGGGCGUAAAGCGCACGCAGGUGGCUUCGUAAGUCGGACAUGAAAGCUCCUGGCUUAACUGGGAGAGGUGGUUCGAUACUGCGGGGCUUGAGGUUGGGAGAGGGACGUGGAAUUCCCGGUGUAGUGGUGGAAUGCGUAGAUAUCGGGAGGAACACCAGUGGCGCAAGCGGCGUCCUGGCCCACACCUGACGCUGAGGUGCGAAAGCGUGGGGAGC